CUACGUGCCAGCAGCCGCGGUAAUACGUAUGUCGCGAGCGUUAUCCGGAAUUAUUGGGCAUAAAGGGCAUCUAGGCGGCCGGGUAAGUCCGGGGUGAAAACUGCUGGCUCAACCAGCAGCCUGCCUUGGAAACUACCCGGCUUGAGUGCUGGAGAGGUGGACGGAACUGCACGAGUAGAGGUGAAAUUCGUAGAUAUGUGCAGGAAUGCCGAUGAUGAAGAUAGUUCACUGGACGGCAACUGACGCUGAAGUGCGAAAGCUAGGGGAGCGAACAGGAUUAGAUACCCUGGUAGUCCUAGCUGUAAACGAUGAUUACUGGGUGUGGGCAUGAAGAGUGUCCGUGCCGAAGCUAAUGCGAUAAGUAAUCCGCCUGGGGAGUACGGCCGCAAGGCUGAAACUCAAAGGAAUUGACGGGGACCCGCACAAGCGGUGGAGCAUGUGGUUUAAUUCGACGCAACGCGAGGAACCUUACCAGAUCUU
rnacentral:rRNA from 1 species